ensembl:lncRNA
UUUUGUUAUGCUCCUGCUGCCUGUUAUGGGGUAUUUCAGUGAGCAAGAGAUGGGGUUUCUAGACACUACCACAACAUAAAAGAUAAUAGUGGGCAGGGUGGGAUUUCAAUGCUGAUGGACUUGAAAUUAUUAGUGCCUAGUGCUUAGUAAAAGCACCCACAGUGCCAGGCAGGAUUUUUUCGAGUGGGUAACCCAUCUGUGGUUUUUCAGUGGUGACUGCCUUGUUCCAGCUGUGUGCCUCCAGCUAAGAAGCUCUAAAUUAUUUACCAAGGCAGCAAAUUAAUGCCAACAAGAGCCAACACCUGAAUGCUCAGUAAGUCAUAUAUAAAACAUGCUUCCUUUUGUGAGGCUAUGGCAUGCUGGCAAAAAGGAAGCUGAGGAGGGAAGGCUCAUGGGAGAUGAAGAGUUUGGGGGUGGCAGGGCAUCUUCAAGACAGCCUAAUGAUGAGGGUAGUGAUUCAAAGUCAAGUUUCUCAGGUGUCCUGUGAGUUUGCAUGAUUGGAGAGAAAAAGAAAGUAAAAGAACAGAAGCAGCAUCACCUUCAAGGCUCAACAGCAAGUAUUGGAAGUGAGAACGUAGAGAGAGUUUUCUUUUAUUCCUUCUUCCCAGAAGAACUUCCCAAAAUAUUUCACGUGAACUCUACGGCCAGGAGCAUCCUACCAGGUUUGCUUUAA